UAAUUUUCAGAAUUGUUCUAGAAAUAAAAUGAGAAGAGCUAUGAAAAUAUAAGUGAUCAUAAUCAUUUUAGCCCAACUCACAAAGUAACACUUCCUUUUCUAAGUUUUACAGUUACGACUUCAACAGAGAAGGACCCAGGAGCAACUGGCUAACCAAGGCUUAAUACCACACUAAUUCAAGCUCCAGCAGCCACAUACUUACUGCAAAGCCUUGCACUGAAAAGUCCAACUGCAUUCCAUGAGCAAAGAAAAAUUUGAAUAGUAACAAGGUAAUUUUUGCAAACUGCCUUUCUGAACUUAGGCUGUUAGUUAUAGACCUCAGGAUGCUAAACUCUG
rnacentral:lncRNA from 1 species